rnacentral:lncRNA from 1 species
AAUUUUCAUAUGCCUAUUCUAUUUUAUUAAACCAUGAGUGUUAAUAGUAUUAAGAACUCUAACACACUAUUUAAAUUCAUAACAUUAUUUGAGUGAGGUAAAGUUCUCUGAAGUAUAAAGCCUUGAUGUCUUACAGGUAGAUUAUCUCCAUUUGUGAGUCAAGAGUUGUCUGUUGUUACAAACAUUUUUUCACAGAAACUAUGUUAAAAAAUCUCAGUUCUCUAAAGCCCUCAAAAGGCUUUCCCACUCACUAUUACUUAUGGUAGAAAAUCUUAACUUGGCAAAGAUCCAAUAGGGGACACCAAAGCAUUUUUUUUUCCUUUUGGACACAUAGCUAGACUACUGUUGUGGAUUGAACUGUGUCCCCCUAAAAGAUAUGUUCAAGCCCCAGUUAAGAUGAGGUCAUAAUGAACUAGGGUGGGCUAACCCAAUGACCAGGUGUCCUUAUAAGAGGAGAAAAAACUAGAUGUAGAGACACACAGAGAGAAGAUGGCCAUGCAAAGACAGAGGCAGAAAUUGGAGUGAUGUAGCUACAAGGCAAGGGAUGCCAAUGAUUGCCAGCAACCACUAAAAGCUGGGAAGAGGCAGGGGAGGGUCCUUCUCCAGAGCCUUCAGAAGGAACAUAGCCCUGAAGACUCCGUGGUUUUGCACUUCUAGUCUUCAUAACUAAAACACAGACAUUGGAAGACGUAUGAGACUACGGAAACUAAUUUUCUCAAGGUCAACAAAUAGAGUUGGAAAAUAACGAAGGAACAAAGAAAUGCUGACAGAAAAUGAAUUUCAUACUCCAGUAGUGUUACCAAACUACAUUUCCCCAUCAUGGUAGCCUAAGCCAGGAAGUGGAGAAAAGAGAAGGAUGUCAUUAAGUGGAAAAUAAUCAGAUAAAAAGAUAAUUUAGACAUGAUUCUUGCCCUCAAGGACAUGCAUAAAAAGGUACUCUCUUCUCACUGAAAAAUGUGUUCCCACUUUCACUUAAACCUAGGAAAGUUAAAACCACCCCCAGGAGGUUUCUUUAUAUUGUCUGCAGUCUUUUCUCCUGAAUAUUUUCUUUCCAGUAUUCUGGUCACAAAGCAGACAGUGUGUAUUUCUUGAUCAAUUGAAUAGAUUGGAGAUAAAUCAGGAUUACUCAGUUAUUAUUAGUUUAAUUGAAAAACUACAUCAGGUUAUAAGCUAAAUAAAAAUAUAAACAAACAGCAGAUUCCUCUUUUUUGCCAAUCUAAGGAACACUCGUGAUCCAGUAAAAACUUAUCUUGAUUUCCGCUCUUGAUAUAAUCGUCAUCCUUAAGGUGUUCCUAUCAAGAAUCCUAUCUCAAACCAUCUUCAAGGUAUUCCUACUCCAAUAUUUAACCCAGGUCUUCCUGGGAGUCAGAGCUUCUUCCUCUUGAACUUUUUAGGUAAUUCCCAGCAAAUUACUCAUUCUAUUCUAUUAGCUAACGGGGCAUGGCAACAUACAGAAAAAUGAAGCAAGCAGGAAAAGAGCAGAUCUACCCACUGGGUCUGGAGACCUGGAUGGCAGUGGAGGCUCAGCCAGCAAGCCAAGACACAUUGUUCAAGAUAGUUAAGACAGUUCUACCUAUAAUUCAGACAGCCAGGCAUCUAUGGUGUAGGAGUGAGGCAAUGUAGAAGGAGAGAAUCAAGGCAGGUGAUUGCUGGAGUUUGUCAAUAUGGGAGUCGACUGCUAGUAACAAGUGGGCAGUUAGAUUAGUUAAAUGGAAACUAUCCAUUUGUUUUUUAUCAUAAAGAGUUGCAUACAUGGAUGGGAUUCUUCAUAAUAUUGGAUAACGGCAGUAAUAAAAGUGACAAAUUCCAUCUGACCAAUUUGCAGUUUGAUACUUUAUACACACACACACACGCACACACACACUUUUUUCUCAAAUUGUAACUAUUAUAAGAGAAAUAAAUCUCUUUUCUCCAAAGAUAUAACUAGGCAUGUGACAAUAACACUAACUUAUCAUUUGAUGUGUGACGAGUUUUGUUUUGUUUGGGUAUUUCUCUGUGUUUCCUAGAUUUAAUUCCUUAAAGAGCACUUUUCCCCUAUCAUGCCAUUACAGACCUUGAGCUUUUUUGUCUGCUUUAUUGGAGAGGCAGAACAUAAGAAUCCCAUUCCUGGAUCGACCACUAAUUGGAUUAUAACCAUGGGCAACUUACUUUUCCUGAAUUGCAGUGUCUUAAUUUCUAAAAUAAGAAGGUUACACUAUAGUUAAGACUUCUGAGGUUGUAAUCCUGGUACACACUCAGCCAUUCUGUCCUCAUGUAAUACAAAAUAGAGAUGUUAUCCUAUGCUACACUGGUGGCAACAUGGUAUUCCUUGGUCCCUAUUUAUCAAGUUCCUAAGGCCAGGUAAUAUGUAGUUUUGCAAAUACAGGAGAGAGACCAUUUAAUUUUUCUUAAGUGUAAUCCAACUUAAACGGCCCAAUGUGGACAAAUGGAGUAGUGCUUGUGAUUCCACAUGGACGCACAUGCUUUUCCUGAUACUGGAAGCUAUUUUAUGAUAUAGUGAAUGUCAGCUGGGAGCUCCUAAAGCUCACUCCAAAAUCGGAUUUCUCUAGAAAAACUCUAUGCUUUCCUGGGUAGAAGAAUGUUUCAUCUAAAAGCUUGAUAGCAGAUAUUUUCAGAAAAGAUCUAUCUACAAGCACCUGAGUGAGUAUUCUAACUCAGCCUAGGAGCACUAUCCCAUCAGGGGGAAAACACUACAGGGUGACUGUCUCUUGGAAUAAUAUAUUUAAAAAUACAACGCAUUUAAUUGUAAAAGAGUCCUUUCCUUCUCUCUAAAGUGAUUUUUAAAUCUUUCACUGGUAUCACUGACUUUGAAUAACAGAAGUAGCUGCUUUUUGGCAAUACCUCAAAGUCAUGUUACAGACUUACUCAUUGCUAAGUGAAAGAUGUGAGGACCAUAUAAUCAUUCCUGAGACUCUGUUUCCAGAGUCCCAACACCAACAGUACCAGACUCGGAAAUUUAAGGGUUUACCCUCUCCUCAUGGAAUCCCCCUGUAAUAACAGUUAAAAGGGUGAAGAUGGGAAUGAAGAACACCCGGCACUGGAAAAGGACUCAGAGGCAAGACAGUAUCCACUGCCUCACAUUCUGUAUUUUUAACCCAUGCCCUUCCUUGGCUCUCCACACAGUUUGUGCCCCAAGUCUGGGACAACGCCAUCUAACAACAGCUUUUCUAUAUUAGAAACCAAUUCAAAAAUUAGAUCAACAAAAGAAGACAUGAAUCCAAAACAUUCUAUAUCUCUUUCUCUCUCAAAAAACAAACAAGCUUAUGAUUUAAGUUGCAUAUAUUUUUCAAACAGUGUGUGCAGCCUUAGAGUGGUACAGUAAGUAGAACUGUUAAUUAGCAUCAAAAUAAUGCUUUGAUUCAUUUAUGAUAGCAUUAGCGUUCCUGUCAAGGAUUUUUGGGAUGUUUGGGUUUGAGAAGUUCUUUAUGUCUAAAGUACUCGAUUGGGCUCAUCGAGGAGUUAAGCUAUAACUUGACCACACAGUAAUUACAUCUAAUUAUGAUUACCUGAAAACACACUAUGAUUAACUUGAGUGAAUACAAAUGUCUUGUUUUCAAAAAGAAAAAGAUGGAAAAAAAGAAGAAAAGCACACAUAGAGUUUCCUGCAGGUUUUGCAUACCCUUGCAUUUGAUAUUAAGAAUGUCUCUGUUUUAUUUAUCAUGUGUUCUCCAUUUACUAAAUAAUAGGAGAAGAGGUGUUCAGAUGGGAUUUCUCAAUUCUUGUUUAAUGAGAAGCUUCUCCUAGCUACCUCCUGCUGAACCCUGCAGUUACAUCUGUCCCAUCCUGAUAACAAAAGAACAAAAGAACAAACCACUGGUCUACUUAAGGUUUCAUCAGUGAUAACACUAAGUCAUCAAGUCAAACAAGA